rnacentral:rRNA from 1 species
CCCUUAGAUGUUCUGGGCCGCACGCGCGCUACACUGAUGCAUUCAACGAGUCUAAAACCUGCUCUGAUAGGGGUGGGUAAUCUUUUGAAUGUGCAUCGUGAUUGGGAUAGAUGAUUGCAAUUUUGCAUCUUCAACGAGGAAUGCCUAGUAAACGCAAGUCAUCAGCUUGCAUUGAUUACGUCCCUGCCCUUUGUACACACCGCCCGUCGCUCCUACCGAUUGAAUGAUCCGAUGAAUAUCAUGGAUUGAGGAUGCAAGUAGGUUCGCCUAUCUUCAUCUUCGAGAAGUGAAGUAAAUCUUAUCAUUUAGAGGAAGGAGAAGUCGUAACA